rnacentral:rRNA from 1 species
AAUUUUAAAGAGCCGCGGUAUUUUGACCGUGCAAAGGUAGCAUAAUCAUUAGUUUCUUAAUUGGGGGCUGGAAUGAAUGGUUUCACGAAAAAUUAACUGUCUCUUAAUAAUUUUUAGAAUUUAACUUUUAAGUUAAAAGGCUUAAAUUUUUCUUUAGGACGAGAAGACCCUAUAGAGCUUAACAUUUAUUUUAUAUAUUUUAUAUAGUUAAUCUUUUUAUAUUAAAUUUUAAUGUUUUGUUGGGGUGACAUGAAGAAUUAAUAAACUCUUCAUUAUAAAAUCAUUGAUUUAUGUUUAAUUGAUCCAUAAUUUAUGAUCAUAAGAUUAAGUUACCUUAGGGAUAACAGCGUAAUUAUUUUUGAGAGCUCAUAUCGACAAAAUAGAUUGCGACCUCGAUGUUGGAUUAAGAUUAAUUUUAGGUGUAGUAGCUUAAUUAUUAGGUCUGUUCGACCUUUAAAUUCUU